UACAGAGGUCUCAAGCGUUGUUCGGAUUCAUUGGGCGUAAAGGGUGCGUAGGUGGCAUGGUAAGUCGGAUGUGAAAUCCCGGGGCUCAACCCCGGAACUGCAUUCGAUACUGCUGCGCUAGAGUACUGGAGAGGAGAUUGGAAUUUACGGUGUAGCAGUGAAAUGCGUAGAUAUCGUAAGGAAGACCAGUGGCGAAGGCGGAUCUCUGGACAGUUACUGACACUGAGGCACGAAGGUCAGGGGAGCAAACGGG
rnacentral:rRNA from 1 species